rfam:Trichobilharzia regenti genome assembly, scaffold: TRE_scaffold0002452
GUACUGCUGAGGAGUCUCAAACUAGUACGAAACAGCUGUCCAGUAC